GCAAAAAGCAUAGCAAACGAUGCGAUAAAUCUAUAUAUUUGGGAUGUUUUGGACCCCUGGAGACAUGAAUAUAAUCUAAACAUUUUCAGCAUAUCAAGGAAGGUUUUAAAGAUCCAUUCGACUUUGACCUAGUUUCCAUCACCUGAAAAUGACUGAACGCCUCUGACGUCACUCAAGGUGGACAGAGGUGCGAUUUACAUGAGCACGGACACUUGCUGGUUUUGAGAAUUCCUCAGUUAUUGUUAGCUAAAACCAAUCCAUAACAAUGGUGAACACAUGUGUGGUUCAGUUUUGUUGCAAUUUGAAUAAUUCUGGUCACAUUGUGCAUCAUUUUCUCAAAGACCCAAGCCUCGGAAGACAGUGGGUAAGCUUUGUGCAAACGAAGAGGGCUAAUUCAGUGAACUUUCACCUGAACCUGGACACACUUCAACAACCUUCCCCCCUGCACACACACACAAAGGACCAAAACUGCAAAGAGCUUUUUUUUUUAAGAGACAACUUGCGGAGAUGUUGCAGGAAGCAUCUUUUGCACAAGAAGUUGACAUCGAACCAGCAGAUGCUGAAUCUCCAUCUUUGGUCCAUUCCAAAACUUACCAGACUGAAGUGCCUACUCAUGACGGAACACAUCUUUACGACACCAGAGAGAAUACUGCAACAUGUAUUUCAACCUCAGGUGUUCUCAAAGUAUUCCAAAUAAUUCUGUGCUAAUGUUAUAUAACAUAUUUAUACAAAAUAUAAGCAUACAGUUCAAUAAAAAUGCUAUGGUUCUA